rnacentral:rRNA from 1 species
GACGAACGCUGGCGGCGUGCUUAACACGUGCAAGUCGAACGGAAAGGCCCUGCUUUUGUGGGGUGCUCGAGUGGCGAACGGGCGAGUAACACGUGAGUAACCUGCCCUUGACUUUGGGAUAACUUCAGGAAACUGGGGCUAAUACCGGAUAGGAGCUCCUGCUGCAUGGUGGGGGUUGGAAAGUUUCGGCGGUUGGGGAUGGACUCGCGGCUUAUCAGCUUGUUGGUGGGGUAGUGGCUUACCAAGGCUUUGACGGGUAGCCGGCCUGGGAGGGUGACCGGGGACAAUGGGACUGAGAGACGGCCCAGACUCCUACGGGGGGCAGCAGGGGGGAAAAUUGUGCAAUGGGGGGGAGCCUAUGGCGACAACCCCGGGGGCGGGAAGAACGCCCUGCGGGGUGAAACCGCUUUCCCCUGUGACCAAGGGUGAGUGACGGUAAUGGGUAAAGAAGCACCGGCUGACUACGUG